rnacentral:piRNA from 1 species
UUCUGGUGAUGUCACUUCCAUGCCUUAGAA